AGGUAGCAACCCUAAGAACUGCAGCAAAGAGCGUUAAGUGAUUUGCACAAGGAGUCUGUGGCAGAGUUAGGAACUGAACCUGGGUCUCCUGACUCCUAGUCUAAUACUUUUAACCAUAGCACCAGUCAUUCUUUCUAAAGAUCAGGCCCUCUGAGAACAAAACCUGAUGACUGUUUGCAAAUUACUUUGACCCCAAGGUCGUUCACUGUUUUGUUUUGAUUUGAUUUUCAGCUUGUUUCAGUGACAGCUGGGGAUGAAAUUUUUGGAGGAAAGAAUAAAUGUGAUGAGGAACAUUGCUGCAGGAUUACAACCUCCUCCCUUCCCCUGCUUAAAGGAACCAAGAAAUCUGAAAGAAUCUUUCCCAUGCAUAUCUCCCAGGUGCUGUUUGAAAGACCCACACAAACAAUGGGAAAACUGUAAAACUGACCAGACACACAGUGCUGCCUUAUGUACAAGAAUGUGGGUGCAUGCUCAGAACCACGGAGGAUGAGCUGAUCACAAGAGGCACUGGAAUUCCACAUCACCAAAUGGCUGAACUGGAAGGAGAGAGAGAGGACCCCCAGCUCCCUGGCUUCAGAAAUUACCUCAGCUGAGUGUGGACAUAUGUAGAUGCAGAUGAAGAACUCAGAGACACGGCUCACAGUAGGACUCCACCUAAACCUCAAUUGGAAGAAGAUGGCGAGGAAGCUGGUUGGUACCUAUUCGCUGAGGACAUAUUACAGGUGAAGUGGAAGGAGAGAUCCGUGCACCUGUGGUGAGUUCUGGAAGGAUGCU